rnacentral:piRNA from 1 species
UAUCAUAGCAUGUGUCACGCUACCUGAUA